rnacentral:rRNA from 1 species
UACAGAGGUCCCAAGCGUUGUUCGGAUUCACUGGGCGUAAAGGGUGCGUAGGUGGUGAGGUAAGUCGGAUGUGAAAUCUCCGGGCUCAACCCGGAAAUGGCAUUGGAAACUACCUUGCUGGAGGGUUUGAGGGGGGAUUGGAAUACUUGGUGUAGCAGUGAAAUGCGUAGAUAUCAAGUGGAACACCAGUGGCGAAGGCGAAUCCCUGGAAAAUACUUGACACUGAGGCACGAAAGCUAGGGGAGCAAACAGG